GAUGAAGAACGUAGCGAAAUGCGAUACGUAAUGUGAAUUGCAGAAUUCAGUGAAUCAUCGAAUCUUUGAACGCAUAUUGCGCUCUCUGGUAUUCCGGAGAGCAUGCUUGUUUGAGUAUCAGUAAACACCUCAGCUCCCUUUUCUUUUUUGAAAUGGGAGCUGGACUUGAGUGAUCCCAACACUUUUCUCACUGGAAAGUGGCGGGUCACUUGAAAUGCAGGUGCAGCUGGACUUUUCUCUGAGCUAUAAGCAUAUCUAUUUAGUCUGCCUAAAAAACAGAUUAUUACCUUUGCUGCAGCUAACAUAAAGGAGAUGAGUUCUUGUGCUGACUGAUGCAGGAUUCACAGAGACAGCUUUGCGGCUGACUUUGUAAACUCGAUCUCAAAUCAAGUAAGACUACCCGCUGAACUUAAGCAUAUCAAUAAGCGGAGGA
rnacentral:misc_RNA from 1 species